GCUUCGCCGCAGGCUCCAAAGUCCCCUUUUUCACUCCGGAUCCCUAUCCGUUUUCAGGGGUUACAGCCUCAUUCCACGGUCCACCAGCUCAUUUUUAAGGUGGAGUGCUCGCGUGCACCCCAUGGACUGCACAGAGCAGGAAAGUCAGGGAGAAGGCCCUUUGGAAUCUGAAGUGAAGCAGGCAGAGGACAGCGCAGAUGGAGUAUCAGUGGCAAUUUCUGCCCCGCAUGAUCUCUCCAUCACAGACGGGGUGGCAGCGGUACCUUCUGCCCCGCAUGAUCUCUCCAGCACAGAUGGGGAGGCAGCGGUGACUUCUGCCCUGCACGAUCUCUCCAGCACAGAUGGGGAG
rnacentral:lncRNA from 1 species